CAGAAUAAGCACCGGCUAACUCUGUGCCAGCAGCCGCGGUAAUACAGAGGGUGCGUAGCGUUAAUCGGAUUUACUGGGCGUAAAGCGCGCGUAGGUGGCCAAUUAAGUCAAAUGUGAAAUCCCCGAGCUUAACUUGGGAAUUGCAUUCGAUACUGGUUGGCUAGAGUAUGGGAGAGGAUGGUAGAAUUCCAGGUGUAGCGGUGAAAUGCGUAGAGAUCUGGAGGAAUACCGAUGGCGAAGGCAGCCAUCUGGCCUAAUACUGACACUGAGGUGCGAAAGCAUGGGGAGCAAACAGGAUUAGAUACCCUGGUAGUCCAUGCCGUAAACGAUGUCUACUAGCCGUUGGGGCCUUUGAGGCUUUAGUGGCGCAGUAACGCGAUAAGUAGACCGCCUGGGGAGUACGGUCGCAAGACUAAAACUCAAAUGAAUUGACGGGGGCCCGCACAAGCGGUGGAGCAUGUGGUUUAAUUCGAUGCAACGCGAAGAACCUUACCUGGUCUUGACAU
rnacentral:rRNA from 1 species